rnacentral:Y_RNA from 1 species
GGCUGGUCUGAAGGUGAUGAGUUUUCUCACUUUGAUUGUUCACAGUCAGUUACAGACUGAACUCCUUGUUCUACUACUUUCCCCCCUUCUCACUACUGCACUUCACUUGUCUUAA